rnacentral:snRNA from 1 species
AUACUCUGGUUUCUCUUCAGACUGCAUAAAUCUUUCACCUUUUAUUAAAGAUUUCCAUGGAGAGAAACAAUUCUAAACAGUCAUCAAACAGC